AAUUGUAUAAUAUUUUAUAAAAAGUAUAUGUUGUUUACAACAAUAAAGAGAAAAAAGUUCUACAAUUU
rnacentral:tRNA from 1 species